rnacentral:sRNA from 1 species
AUUGCGCCCCGACUUGAGUGGAAAUCCUUUUUUGCUUGUCGUCGAAUUCAAUUUAACUGAAAUGUCGAGCAAAAAAGAUUGGGAACGGAAGGCGGAUAAAGGC